rnacentral:rRNA from 1 species
UACUCAAGUCGAGCGAACAGAUAAGGAGCUUGCUCCUUUGACGUUAGCGGCGGACGGGUGAGUAACACGUGGAUAACCUACCUAUAAGACUGGGAUAACUUCGGGAAACCGGAGCUAAUACCGGAUAAGAUUUUGAACCGCAUGGUUCAAUAGUGAAAGACGGCCUUGCUGUCACUUAUAGAUGGAUCCGCGCCGUAUUAGCUAGUUGGUAAGGUAACGGCUUACCAAGGCAACGAUACGUAGCCGACCUGAGAGGGUGAUCGGCCACACUGGAACUGAGACACGGUCCAGACUCCUACGGGAGGCAGCAGUAGGGAAUCUUCCGCAAUGGGCGAAAGCCUGACGGAGCAACGCCGCGUGAGUGAUGAAGGUCUUCGGAUCGUAAAACUCUGUUAUCAGGGAAGAACAAACGUGUAAGUAACUGUGCACGUCUUGACGGUACCUGAUCAGAAAGCCACGGCUAACUACGUGCCAGCAGCCGCGGUAAUACGUAGGUGGCAAGCGUUAUCCGGAAUUAUUGGGCGUAAAGCGCGCGUAGGCGGUUUUUUAAGUCUGAUGUGAAAGCCCACGGCUCAACCGUGGAGGGUCAUUGGAAACUGGAAAACUUGAGUGCAGAAGAGGAAAGUGGAAUUCCAUGUGUAGCGGUGAAAUGCGCAGAGAUAUGGAGGAACACCAGUGGCGAAGCGACUUUCUGGUCUGUAACUGACGCUGAUGUGCGAAAGCGUGGGGAUCAAACAGGAUUAGAUACCCUGGUAGUCCACGCCGUAAACGAUG